rnacentral:rRNA from 1 species
CUCAGAUUGAACGCUGGCGGCAGGCUUAACACAUGCACGUCGAGCGGAGAGAAAGUAGCUUGCUACUGGAUCUUAGCGGCGGACGGGUGAGUAAUGCUUAGGAAUCUGCCUAUUAGUGGGGGACAACGUUCCGAAAGGAACGCUAAUACCGCAUACGUCCUACGGGAGAAAGCAGGGGACCUUCGGGCCUUGCGCUAGUAGAUGAGCCUAAGUCGGAUUAGCUAGUUGGUGGGGUAAAGGCCUACCAAGGCGACGAUCUGUAGCGGGUCUGAGAGGAUGAUCCGCCACACUGGGACUGAGACACGGCCCAGACUCCUACGGGAGGCAGCAGUGGGGAAUAUUGGACAAUGGGCGGAAGCCUGAUCCAGCCAUGCCGCGUGUGUGAAGAAGGCCUUUUGGUUGUAAAGCACUUUAAGCGAGGAGGAGGCUACUUAGAUUAAUACUCUAGGAUAGUGGACGUUACUCGCAGAAUAAGCACCGGCUAACUCUGUGCCAGCAGCCGCGGUAAUACAGAGGGUGCGAGCGUUAAUCGGAUUUACUGGGCGUAAAGCGUGCGUAGGCGGCUUUUUAAGUCGGAUGUGAAAUCCCUGAGCUUAACUUAGGAAUUGCAUUCGAUACUGGAAAGCUAGAGUAUGGGAGAGGAUGGUAGAAUUCCAGGUGUAGCGGUGAAAUGCGUAGAGAUCUGGAGGAAUACCGAUGGCGAAGGCAGCCAUCUGGCCUAAU